UUCCAGCUCCAAUAGCGUAUAUUUAAGUUGUUGCAGUUAAAAAGCUCGUAGUUGGAUUUCGGUUAAGAGCGACCGGUCCGCUGUUUGGUGUGCACUGGUUGGUUUUAACUUCCUGUAGAGGACGUGCUCUGGGCUUAACGGUCUGGACUCGGAGUCUACGUGGUUACUUUGAAAAAAUUAGAGUGUUCAAAGCAGGCGUCGGCUUGAAUACAUUAGCAUGGAAUAAUGGAAUAGGACUUUGGUUCUAUUUUGUUGGUUUCUAGGACCGAAGUAAUGAUUAAUAGGGACAGUUGGGGGCAUUAGUAUUUAAUUGUCAGAGGUGAAAUUCUUGGAUUUAUGAAAGACUAACUACUGCGAAAGCAUUUGCCAAGGAUGUUUUCAUCG
rnacentral:rRNA from 1 species